ACCAUAUGAUAAUUGUCUUUCUCUGCUUGGCUUAUUUCACUUAGCAUUAUCUCCUCCAGUGCCGUCCAUGUUGCAGCAAAUGUUGAGAAAUGACCCAUGCGUUAUUAGAAGUAAGUCAUUUAAUUUCCAUAUCUUGGAGAAAACUUCCAUAUAUCUUUCUGUUAUUGAUUUCUAGUUUAAGUCUCUUGUGAUCAGAGAACAUGCUUAGUAUCAAUGUUAAAUUUCUGAAGCUGAUGACUGCACUGUGGUCCUAUUCUUAGGACCACAAAUACACACCGAAGUACUUACUUAGGGGUAAAUUUCCAUGAUAUGUGUAACUUACUCUCUAAUGGUUCAGGAAAAAACUGUGUGUGUGUGUGUGUGUGUGUGUGUGUGUGUGUGUGUACAGAGAUCCCAAGCAAGAGAGAGAAAGAGGGGGAGAAAGUGAGGGAUGGGGGUGGGAACAUACAUGAAUCAUCUAGCAAAUAAAAAAAUAAAACGAAAAGAAAGGAUAAGCUAAUAAGCUUCUCCCAGCCCCUCCUCCAGGCGUGUAUCCUUCCGUACCUUCUCCAUACCACACACAAACUUACACUAAUAUGUAUUCACUUAUAUGGGAUUUUGUUGUUUUAUAAAAAUGGGAUCAGUCUCUGUACAUUAAUUAUUGCGCAGCUUGAUUUUCUCCCUUAACAAUGCAUCAUGGAGAUUCCCCCCAGGUCGAAAGACCUAGGUUUAAACACAGCUGUGUAAUAUUCCAUACGUGUAUGAUAUCACGAUUUCUUCACCCGCCUCCCUAACGAUGGAUACUCCAGCAGUUUCCAGUUUAUACCACUACACACAAGGAAGCGAAAAGCAUCCUUGUGCACAUAACCCACUGUACGGGUGCUGAGGCUGUGACUCACUUCUGAGACUGGAAUUAGAGUCGACACCACAAGUUCUUCGUGAUCCACUAACGCUCAAAGCUGUUCAGCAGUGGGAGGAAGGCUGGUCUCCAGGGGCCAUCUGCUGCAUGCAAUCCCGGCCUUUUCCAGAGGAGGGCCAGAACGUCCUCGAGGAAGCGGGGGACGAAAAGACUGUUGCAACCUGUCUGCGGGCUCGCGGCGGGUGCCCCGUAUUUGCAUGGCAGGACUCAAUGCCCCACACGGAGACUAACAGAGAACAUUCAUGGACUGUUGCCUAGUGCCAGCCACUGAACUAAACCCUUUUGCACAGAAGACCUCAUUUCAUCUCCUCUGCAACUCUGGGAGGUACAGGAGGUGUGGAAUCCUGUUGCAUCGCCUUCCUAUUGCUGCAGUAGUUCUGCGUAAAACCACCCCAAAACAUGGCCGUUCAAAACAACCACUAAUCGCUGGCUUGUGAUUCUGUCAGAAGAGUGAGGAACCGCGAAGUGUCUUAAAAUUAAUUGCCCAAGCUCGCAAAGCCAGCGAAUGGGGGAUGUGAACCUAGGCAGUCAGACACCAGUGACCACGUAUUCAACCUCCCUCCCAUCUCUCCAAGCCUGUGAGCAUGUCCUGAUGGUGAAGACAGCCCUCAAGGAUGUCAUCCUCUCCGAAAACCCCCAACACACCAGUCAACCUCAAGAAGCAAAUCAUCUCCAAAGACCCUUAGCUCCUUGCAGGAAGGACAGAAGUUGGAAGCGAUGUGCCAGUGGGCUUGUGGAUGGGUGACUCUGUAGAUGGUCAGGGGCCUGAGUGCACAUGCGGCUGGAUGGUUGGAUGGAUGGGUUGUUAGCAAGUACGUGAUGUGGUGGGCUCAGGACCACGCAACCUCAUCUCUGCUUGGGUUCUACUAAGGUUGAGGGGCAGGGAAUAAAGAAAUCAAAGCCUCCAGAUGGCCUCUCCUAGAAACUCCAGCUGAGGGCUUGAGGUCUGAGGUCUAUACUGGGAUGAGACUGCCUUUGCGAUCAAGGAGACAUGAGCAACUUUGGUCCUCUGAGCUGGGGACAGUGAGUGCAGAGACUGCCUUCCUUCCAAGGAGUGAGGGCUCAGCCAAUUUUUGAAGGUAUUCUUUCAAUCCCAAGGCUUGGGAUGAUCAUUUUCCAGGUCUUUUUUUGAUGUUGUUAAGAUUUAUUUAUGUAUUUAUUUUUGAGAGAGAGAGUGUGUGUGAGUGAGCAGGGGGAGGGGCAGAGAGAGAAAGAGAGAAUCUCAAGCAGACUCCCCACUGA